GUGAUGCUCAUGUCGGAAGACUUGGCUCUUUACCUGAAGGAACAGUGGAGUGACCCAGCGUCCCGGGUGCCUUGACUGACUGGAUUUCGUUUGGGGCUUUUGAUGUAUCUAUAAGCCAAAGAUUUGAGCAGAGGACAAAGAAAAAAAUCGUCAACUCUGAGCAAUAGCACCUAUUUCAUUUUUCCAUAGUUGACACAGAUGUUACUGAAAAUGACCCACUUAUUUCUUAGGAGAAAAAUAUAAAAGGACUGGUUGUGGGGAUUUGAGUUUUACAAAGUCCCCAUUAGGGAGACUGUUAGCUAGCAGACAGAUUCUAUCUUUAACCACUCGAUGAUUUUAAAUGGGAAAAGAAUAAUCCUUCAUAAAGAACAAUCAUGAUGCUGCCCUCUUCCCAGGAGCUCUAUCGUGCCUAAUUCUUAGACAUCAAUUUGUACCUCUCAUUCACAUCAGUUAGCUACCCAAGCAUCUGUCUCCACCAGUGACGAGUAUAGGGACACAUGGAAUGCCCCAGCUUUGGAAUCAGACUGCCGGAAAUACAACAUGCUCCAUCCAGGACUUCAGGUGUAUUAUGUAUGGCACUCAAUCCAUUUGUCUGUCCGUAUAAUUGAAUAACGUAACUCCCUCCUUUGAGUGGUUGUGCAUGUAAGUUUUAUCACAACGGCCAGUGCAGGCUCUCUGUAAUAGUGACUAUGUGCUGUAUGGGCUCCUGCCACAAUCACAGUCAUACACUCUGGAUCCAAAACACCAACAUGUCUACACCUCUAAGAUGCCACCAUACUGGAAGGUGUUCAUCCCUUGUUCUAUAUUGCACAAUCCAAUACAGCUUUAUUUCAUAUUUUAAGUCUAUUCAGUGCCCCAAAUUUGUUUCUCUCAUGUACUCAUCUUUGCUAAGGAGGGAAGAUAGAAGCUAUCAAAGAUUACCAGCUCUCAUUUUACCGGGUUAUCAUCUGAUACUAUUUAUUACUAUUUUAUUAACUUAACACAAUAACUAAUAUUUCCAUGUCCCUCUAAAUCUUUUAGCUAAAGGUAUCAUUUCUAUCGGAUUCUUAGUUUACUGAAACUAUCCUUAAUCAAAAUGCAGUAGAGGACUCCAUGCUUUUUUUAAAAUAGUGGGGUUUGUCAGUGUUGUCUGUGGACCAUUAUAACAACCAGCAUAGCUCAAUAGCCCCAAGGAUGGAGAGCUUGUUCUCAUACCUUGGCAGCAACAGCACUCUAAUUGGACUAAAGACAUGCUCAGCAAGAGGAAAAUACUGUCUGUUACUGGAAAUCUAGCCAACUUAUUUAGUACUAGUUAAGAUCUUGAAGGCACGCUUAGAAUCACCAUUUUACUAAACCAGCAUAAGCCCUCACCACAAUCCAAAUAUUCAUCUUUACACCUUCACGCCUCAUCAAGGAAUCUUCUCUUUGUCACAAACAGAAAACAUUACAGAUCAACCCAACUAGUCAAAACGCACAGCUGAGGAGCCCAGUCCUGGUAGAUAAGUCUACAAACACACCUCUCCAUUUAAGUCUCAGAGAACAUGGUGGAAGAGGGUCAGAAAAGAUUAUAAGAGUCAUAAGAUCAGGGAAGUAUAUAUGAAAUUGUGUCUCCUAGUCAUGUCGCAUGGUACACCCAUAGAGACUCAACAACAUGACUGUUUAUCAUGCACAACAACAAUAGAUAUGCCAAAGUGAACAGGAACAGAAAGACCAGCCAGCAUCAACCCUGCACAAAGAAUAAAGGACUUGGAAAUGCCAAGCUUGGACCUGGAAGCUCUUUCCAUACUGGCUAGCUUCUGUGGUAUAGAAGGUGAAGGCGUCACGCAAUCUGCUGGAGGAGAAGAGUCCCCAACCGGCAACUCGGACCAUGGCAACGAUGGCCAACCUGCUGGCUCAGAAAACGAGGGAGCCAAGAGACUGUAAAAGGUGGAGGUUGGUGGGGACUAAGGCUAAACAGCGUUUUGUGCACGUGACCCGGCUGUUGCUUUCAAUGAACACAUAGCAUCUGUGAUUGCCACCAUCAGACUAGCCCAAGCCAGAGUGCAGCUCACCAGGGAUGACGGAGAGGGGCCAUGAGGCUUACACAAAACUGAAGUCCUAUUGAUAUUUGACAGUUGCUGGGGAAAGAGAGUAAUUUUUUGGAACUUUGGUCUCUUAUAGGUUGUCCAUACUCCAGUAUGAUUAGCUUCUCAGGCAAGUGCAUAUUGACAAGGCUCAUGGAGCCAAUUGGGUAAAAAUAAAAUAAGUAAAAUAGAAGAGGAUGUGAAGUUGAGAUGGAAACAUGAGGGGUUUGGGAGAAGUCGGAGGGGAGAUGGGGAUAAAAAUGAACAGAAUGAACUAUAUGCAGAUAUGAAAUUCUUAAAGAAAAGACAAAAUACUACAUUCACACAUAUUUAUUUAUAUCUUAACCUGUUAUGUUUAUUAUUACCUAUUAUAUAAUACUAUUAUUUAAUAUGAAAGAAUAAAACUAUAUUUAAUUUAAAUGUGUAUGGAUAUAUUUAAAAGUUUGUUUUAGGUAGAAAGGUACUCUUCUGUGGAAUGAAAUGAGGCUGGAAGUCGUGAGGGUUUUCCAGGUCUUUUACAAAUAUGUUAAAGUUUAAUACUCAUUAAUGGCAUGCAAUAAGCCUCGCAAUCAAGACCGUAUCUGUAAAGUAUUCCUGUUGAUUUCAAGGUGGUGAUUUUCAAAGUAAUUUCUGACUUCUCAUACUGUGCAUAAAAUCAGACAUUAUGUCCCCAAAUGACCUUUCAUUUACUACAGGAAAGAGUAGACCCCUGCGGAUCCCCUUGCUGCUGCGUGCGGCUUCCUUCAAUUGAUUGUUCUGAGAUAAUGACUUGAUUAGACUCAGGAUAGCCGUCCAGUCCUAAUGUUUUGGGGUCACUACAGUUUCAAGCACUCAACAUGAUUUGUAGUGAUUCAGAACCUUAAACACAAUGAUUCCUUAAAUUGGUGUUCAUGAUCUUUUUUUUUUUUUUCACUUUCCU
rnacentral:lncRNA from 1 species